rnacentral:lncRNA from 1 species
AGGACAUCAAGGCUCAUCAUCUUCAUGAGAACAGGACCUUUUUUAAAAUUGUUUUGUUCACUGCCAUAGUCCUAGCACCCAGAAGAGUAGCUGGCACAUAAUCAGCUCUCGAUAAAUGUUUCUUGAUAUUUCUAUGAGCGUGUACAUCCCCUGGGUCCAGCACCUUUUUCAUAAGUGCUAAUUUGAGUGCACAAAUGACUUCAAGGUGGCUUUGAACAAGACAUAUAUUCCGGUGUGAGUGUCUGCAUCUGGGAAAUACACUGGAGGAAUGCUCCUCCUUCGUUUCCCAAGUAAGUCUCUAACAGUUUGUACAUAUGAAGUGUGCUAGUCAGGAUGUGGGGGGUCAGAUCUGAAACCUGAUUGUAACUUGAAGGCAUAAAAUAAUCACACAGCUGUGUGCCUGGGCCCUGAGCGGCACUGGGCCUAAAGCAUAAUGUGCUUCAUCUGAUUUGCUGGAGAAUCUGGAUUUGUCGAGGCUCUUGGCUCAUUUGCUUCAGGUAGAUGCUCUUAUUUGCACAGCAAUCCAAGGGGUGGAAACAGAGCUGAGGUCUCUAGGAAGGGAGAGGGCAGCACAAGUUGGGGGGGCCACCCAGGGAGAACUCACCCAUCCCCACAUACUUUUCAUCAGAAGUGGGGUAAUGGCUUUACCUGGACCUGGGGUUUUGUGGGGCUACCAUUUACCCAAAAGCAGAUCAGGCUAGCUCCAUUACUAAGAAGAAGAAGAGAGUUGGCAACAGGGGCCUGGUCCUUUAGCCUGGAGAUUCAAAGACAGGGAUGAGUGAAAAGAGGUUUCAUAGGUUGACAAAGCUUUUAAAACCCCCAAAUCUGUUAGGAUCUAGUGAAAGAUGGAGGAGGCUGAACAUGAGAAACUGGUUUUUGGUACCUCUGGAUCUCCCCAGCUGACCACAGCCACCAAAAGCCUUGAUCGAUCCUCGAAGGUGUCUCCUGGGAUGGCUUGAAGGCUGAGGGCUGGAGUCGUUGGCCAACUCACCUCCCGCUACCAAAGGCUGGUGUCUGCUGGAACAUCACCUGUGGCUGUAGCCAGAACAUCCAUACUUGGACUUCCGUGUGGUUGCUGGGCUGCCUCACGUUAUAAGGCCAUGUGAAGUGGGACAUAUUGGCCUGGCUGACUUUAGCUGUAGCAGUAGAACUAAGGCAUGUUCUUCUAAAUUGGCAGAGAAUGAGUGGGAUUUAACAAAGAACACAUCAAACGUGGGACAACUUCAUAGGAAGAGCUUCACAGGACGAAUAAAGAACACAGAGCCCGAGCCCCUGACGGUUUGAUUCCUGUCAAGGGAAAUGACUCCAUUGGGCGGGGGCAGCUCUGACCGUUUUUUGGUGCCUGACUGUUGAGGGACCAAGCGCAUUUCAAGGACG